rnacentral:rRNA from 1 species
GACGAACGCUGGCGGCGUGCUUAACACAUGCAAGUCGAACGAUGAAGCUGGAGCUUGCUCCGGUGGAUUAGUGGCGAACGGGUGAGUAACACGUGAGCAAUCUGCCCUUGACUCUGGGAUAACUGCGGGAAACUGUAGCUAAUACCGGAUACGAGGCUCGAAGGCAUCUUCGGGUCUGGAAAGAAUUUCGGUCAAGGAUGAGCUCGCGGCCUAUCAGCUUGUUGGUGAGGUAAUGGCUCACCAAGGCGACGACGGGUAGCCGGCCUGAGAGGGUGACCAGCCACACUGGGACUGAGACACGGCCCAGACUCCUACGGGAGGCAGCAGUGGGGAAGAUUGCACAAUGGGCGAAAGCCUGAUGCAGCAACGCAGCGUGAGGGAUGAAGGCCUUCGGGUUGUAAACCUCUUUUAGCAGGGAAGAAGCGAAAGUGACGGUACCUGCAGAAAAAGCACCGGCUAACUACGUGCCAGCAGCCGCAGUAA